ACCACUUCGGUGGGGAUUAGUGGCGAACGGGUGAGUAACACGUGGGCAAUCUGCCCUUCACUCUGGGACAAGCCCUGGAAACGGGGUCUAAUACCGGAUAUCACUCCUGCAGGCAUCUGCGGGGGUCGAAAGCUCCGGCGGUGAAGGAUGAGCCCGCGGCCUAUCAGCUUGUUGGUGAGGUAAUGGCUCACCAAGGCGACGACGGGUAGCCGGCCUGAGAGGGCGACCGGCCACACUGGGACUGAGACACGGCCCAGACUCCUACGGGAGGCAGCAGUGGGGAAUAUUGCACAAUGGGCGAAAGCCUGAUGCAGCGACGCCGCGUGAGGGAUGACGGCCUUCGGGUUGUAAACCUCUUUCAGCAGGGAAGAAGCGAAAGUGACGGUACCUGCAGAAGAAGCGCCGGCUAACUACGUGCCAGCAGCCGCGGUAAUACGUAGGGCGCAAGCGUUGUCCGGAAUUAUUGGGCGUAAAGAGCUCGUAGGCGGCUUGUCACGUCGGGUGUGAAAGCCCGGGGCUUAACCCCGGGUCUGCAUUCGAUACGGGCAGGCUAGAGUGUGGUAGGGGAGAUCGGAAUUCCUGGUGUAGCGGUGAAAUGCGCAGAUAUCAGGAGGAACACCGGUGGCGAAGGCGGAUCUCUGGGCCAUUACUGACGCUGAGGAGCGAAAGCGUGGGGAGCGAACAGGAUUAGAUACCCUGGUAGUCCACGCCGUAAACGGUGGGAACUAGGUGUUGGCGACAUUCCACGUCGUCGGUGCCGCAGCUAACGCAUUAAGUUCCCCGCCUG
rnacentral:rRNA from 2 species